GUGGGCGUAACUCAGUCGGUAGAGUCCUGGAAUGUGACUCUGGUGGUUGUGGGUUCAAUCCCCACCGUUCACCCCA
rnacentral:tRNA from 1 species